GAGAGAGACAGAGAGAGACAGAGCAAAAAAAAGAGCAUUAACCCCAGGCCGGCACAUAAAAGGCUUCGACUUGAAGCCCGUCCGGAUGUCGGUUGCUACCAUCUACAGCUUUAGGGACUUUCCGGCUUGUACUUUUUUGAACUGGACCCCGCAUUGAUUCUCAACUGCCUCCUCAACCUGUUGGCUGUUACACAGAGAACCCCUGGCUGCAUUUCCUGGCUGUUCAAGUCCACUGCCUAAGAUCCACUAAGCGUAUGGCUUCUCACCCCCUGGCGCGCGCGUAGACCACCUAUGCCUUUGAAUGAUCUCCAUUACAAAGACUGGACUGCACAGCAGCUCUCUCAGUGUGUCAUUUCUUA
ensembl:lncRNA